UACCACCUCUUGCUCACAACCACCACAUUCUCAACAGCGUCCAAAUUCACCAACUGUUACGUAUCUUCAAAGUACCUCGUGUUGAAAUAAAAGCCAAUCUCCUCUAACCUAGAAACAGAACCACAAAACACAAGCCUCAGCACAUAUAUAAAUGACUUAACAAUAAAGAGAAUAAUAAAAGAAAAGAGCAACUAGCCUUCAGAGUUCAGGGGGAGUCAAAAUUGGAUCGAGAAGAGCAAAUAAGAAAGCUGGAACGAUGGUGUACCUUCUUAGUCGUCUCGACCCUUCAACCGUGAAUCCGCCUCCUCACUGGAUCUCAGAGAUCUUCUUCAUCCAACCUCAAGCUGUGUGACGUGAAUCCAACGACCACCACAUCGCCUUGACCACCAUUCUUUUUCACUGCACCACCACUAAUCUUCUUCUGCCACAACAACUCCUUUAUAAAGAAGAAAGAUAAAUUCAGAACAAAACACACUAUCAUAGUAACCUCACCUGAAAACUGAUAAGUGUUCCAGGUCCCCAAUAUUUCAAGGCAGCAGUAGCCUCCUCAUCAUAAUAAGCUCCUGACAAGUAUAUAGGUAGUGGUUUUUAGUCAAAGCUAAUCCAAUCUGAUACCAAGUGUGUUUCGAUUUACAUAAACACAAACAAUAACUACAAAGGUUUUAACUUGCCUAGAUAACAAACUGGUGCGGAAAUAGGCAUCAACCAUUAAAACACUGAAGGAAUAAAGAAAAGAGAUGAGCUUUUAUACUCCAAAUACGAGACUAGCUACUAUAACACAUAGACAAGAUAAUAAGAUAGUCAAGACCAGCGACAAGAUAAAUCAUAUACAAUAUAAACAAGAUAGUGAAGACCAGAGACAAGAUUAAUCAUGUACAAAAACAGAGACUCAAGACAGAAACAAAUAGUCAACCAAAAUCAAAACCCUACGAACAAAACAUAUUGUCAACCAAAAUCAAAACCCUAGACACAGAAACAGAUAAUCAAGACAAAUCGAAACCCUAAGAAUGAACUAAAAAGAUUGAACAACUUUGAUUGUAAUCGGUGGUUCUCAAAAGAGAAAGACAAAAGAAGGAGGACGACAGAGAGAUGUAACGACGAGUUGAAGCUUUCCGACGAACUUAGACGGGCCAGAGAAAGAAGGUGUCUGACUGCGAAAACGAAAUCGCCUCUUUGAGAAAAAAGAGUCGGAGACGACGAUAGGGUUCUGUUUCUUUGAUGUUUUUUCUUCUUAGUUUUUACUUUGUUUUUUAUUUCAUUAGGGUUCUGCAAACUUUAGCUUUUUGAGAACGGAAACAAAAAUUGAUUAAAUAUUCCAAUUUUU
rnacentral:lncRNA from 1 species